rnacentral:rRNA from 1 species
AACGAACGCUGGCGGCAGGCUUAACACAUGCAAGUCGAACGCCCCGCAAGGGGAGUGGCAGACGGGUGAGUAACGCGUGGGAAUCUACCCAUCCCUACGGAAUAACGCAUGGAAACGUGUGCUAAUACCGUAUACGCCCUACGGGGGAAAGAUUUAUCGGGGAUGGAUGAGCCCGCGUUGGAUUAGCUAGUUGGUGGGGUAAAGGCCUACCAAGGCGACGAUCCAUAGCUGGUCUGAGAGGAUGAUCAGCCACAUUGGGACUGGGACACGGCCCAAACUCCUACGGGAGGCAGCAGUGGGGAAUAUUGGACAAUGGGCGCAAGCCUGAUCCAGCCAUGCCGCGUGAGUGAUGAAGGCCUUAGGGUUGUAAAGCUCUUUCACCGGAGAAGAUAAUGACGGUAUCCGGAGAAGAAGCCCCGGCUAACUUCGUG